GGCCUUAUAGUCAAGUGGUUAUGACAUAAUUUUUUCACAGUUAAAGGCGAGGGUUCGAUCCCCUCUGAGGCUA
rnacentral:tRNA from 1 species